CCCUUAGAUGUUCUGGGCUGCACGCGCGCUACACUGAAGCGUUCAACGAGUAUUCACCUUGCCCGGGAGGGUUGGGUAAUCUUUUGAAAACGCUUCGUGAUGGGGAUAGAUUAUUGCAAUUAUUAAUCUUCAACGAGGAAUUCCUAGUAAGCGCGAGUCAUCAGCUCGUGCUGAUUACGUCCCUGCCCUUUGUACACACCGCCCGUCGCUACUACCGAUUGAACGGUUUAGUGAGGGCAUCGGACUGGUCUCGGCCCGCCCUUCACCGGUGCGGCGCCGCCGGCCGGGAAGACGCUCGAACUUGAUCGUUUAGAGGAAGUAAAAGUCGUAACA
rnacentral:rRNA from 1 species